GGGUCUAUAGCUCAGCUGGUUAGAGCGCCUCGUUCACAUCGAGGAGGUCGCAGGUUCGAAUCCUGCUUGACCCA
rnacentral:tRNA from 1 species